rnacentral:rRNA from 1 species
UACGGAGGGAGCUAGCGUUGUUCGGAAUUACUGGGCGUAAAGCGCACGUAGGCGGCUUUUUAAGUCAGGGGUGAAAUCCCGGGGCUCAACCCCGGAACUGCCCUUGAAACUGGAGAGCUAGAAUCUUGGAGAGGCGAGUGGAAUUCCGAGUGUAGAGGUGAAAUUCGUAGAUAUUCGGAAGAACACCAGUGGCGAAGGCGACUCGCUGGACAGACAUUGACGCUGAGGUGCGAAAGCGUGGGGAGCAAACAGG